UCAAGCUCUCUCUCUUCACCACAUGUCCUAGAAACAAAAUAAUGUAACAUUAAUGACCAUAUAAAAGUGUGGAGAGCAAGACUUACUCCACAUGAAUUUGUACAGUCUAAAGACAUCCUGUUCCAGUCUCCACCACAGCAGUGAGUGAAAUAACUUUUAAAAUGUUCAUUCAAAACUUCAAUGGAAGAUUUGCAUGCUAUUAUCAUUCUCUAAAGUUGAGAGAAAACUCUGUAAAGAAAACAGUACCUCACCAUGGUUAAGUAACUUCAAUCUACUGCUGUUUUAUUUUACAUCAUUGUGCUAGAGCAGAACAGAUCCUUAGUUCAGGUAAGGUUAUUAACUCACUUUUUCUUACUGCCAGCUUCAUGCCUAUCUUUCUUUUCCUCUGUGUUCUCUCCGUUGUGUUGUGACUGGUUGGUAUCUUGAGCUUCAGACCCUCCAUUGAGAACCUUUGAACCUUUAAAAUUAAAGGGCAGGGAAAGAAAACAGUACUGCAGGCAGCAAAACUGUGUUAUAAAAAGCCCUAGAUAAUUUCUUUACCUUCAUCCACUCAAACACUAUAAAUGUUUUCCCCUUACCUUGAUACCCAGCAGCUGAAACAAUACAAAAUGCAUAAAGUGAUACAGCUUUAACUUCCUAAAACUCCAUGCAAUGAGCCUCAUCCCAUAAUUUUAAUAAUGGGAAAUGAACAGUGUACGUAUUUAAUGUGAUUUUGAGUUCUUUUGCUUGCUAGGCUACAGGUAAUAGGACUAAUGCUUAUUUAUUUUCUGAGCAGCUGGAGAAUAUACUUCAGCAGUAAAUGCUGUUUACCACUCUAACGUGGUCAGACAAUUUGGGGGGAUUUCUGAUACUUCCAACUGGAGAAGUUACUAAUUCCAUGGAUUCUUGUUUACUCUUAACUCUAACAAACAUGUAUAUAAUCAAAAUAUGACAAACAGUAUAUAUAAUUAGAGUAAAAGUGUUUAGUUAUAGCAUGCAAUUGUCAAGCAGGAAAACAAAGCACUAUGUAGAAGCUGUAUUUAGUGAAGGCAAAGCAGGAAUAUUUAACCGCUUUAAAGUUUCUGUGAUGAAUACAUGUUUUGCUCUAGUAGUACCAGCUAGUGAAUUUUGAGUGAAUUGUUGAGGAAUCUCACUAAGUCAGAAUUGACAAUCCAUUUUAUUUGAAGUUACAGGUUUAACAAAAGAACUCUAUUAAACUACUGUGCUACAGCAAGAAAAAGAUACAGGACAUUACUCAUCUGAAUACUUGCAGACUGAGAGAUGCUAAAAAGCAGACAAGAUCAUUUUAAGAUGACAUUCCAGUAGUUGGUCUACUUAGACUUGCUCAGAGUCUGUUCUGAACAUCAGUGCCAUGGGAGGAAUUCAAUGAAACAAUGAAUGCUACAAUCCCUUGUUACAAAGUGGAUAGUCUGAAGCUGUACUUCAGCUGAAGUACAAACCACUGUAAUUGUUGUGCUUCAUAAAGACAGUAAGAGUUCAGCGGUUCAAUUUUUAAAAAGGCAGAAGUACAAGUGUAAGGAACCAGCAUUUCUCUUUGUAGCAAAUAAAGAAAAAUCCAAUUCCAUUCAAUAAUCCCCUACUCUGAUAAAACUUCUUACCAUUUUCCAUUUGACUAGGCAACAACAUGGCAUUUCAGUGUGUUCCAUUGAAAUCUAGUGUUAACCUUACCAGGAGUAGCUACAUUAGUCAGGCUAUGUGUAGGUAGUCUUUCAGUUUAGAUUCUUUGUUGAAGUAUUAGCUGUGCUGAUCGCUGGGUUGGGGAAAGAUCUGUGUAUAACCUCUACUACAUCAUACAUACUUCUCUCACCAUAACGUGGUUGGAUUUUAUCAUCCUUGCUUUCUUAGAAGUUACAAAUAUGGUGGCAUUUCAACUACAGGUAUUCUGAAUCCUUGGCAUCCUCCAUUACCUCAGUUACAGUAACAUGUUUAUUCCAGAUCUGGGUGGUGUAACUUUCAAAACAGUUUUCUGAAACAGUUUUGGUCCCAGGAUUCAAGUUCAAAGUAAACUGCCUACGCUAAAGAUCUUUGAAGCAACUGUGCUCCAUGGAACAACCUCACAAGAGCUGGCUUUCCCUGUAAAUAAAGCCCAUUCAUCUUCAGAACAAUAAACUAUUGUGGUAGAACAAAGGAAAAAGAUUAUUUGUAAGUAUUUUUAAGAUCCCCACAACAGUGUUCCAAAACCCAGUUUUAAGCAGGUAAGUUCAUAUUUCUCCUACUCUUCCUUUAGAUGCCAUCAUCUCCCCUAGCUGCAUCACAGUAUCAAGCCAGUAGAUGGAGCUAUUCAGAAAGACACCUGCUUCUAGCUCUACAGCCAAUUAUUCACAAUGAAAAAUUGCACUAACGGAACAUAGUGACCUUCAUCUACAUAGUUGUUUUAGGGGGGCGGGUUGUAAAGAUAGACAGAACUUAUGACAAAAGAAGAUCUUGAUGAAAGGAUACAUAUCUCCUUGCAGAAACAUUCUAUAUCCAUACAUACAGACAAAAAGAAUUGAGAAAAAUGCCAAGUGGAAAAAUAUUAACAGAAUUUAGUGUCCUGUAUGCAGGAGCAUCAGCUAGCAGCAACAGAAAGUUAUAGGCAAUUACAUAUUUAUCUUAUUUUCUUUGUGGGCACCUAUAAUAAAAGACAACUUUAAGGAACAGAGAUAAACUUAAAUCUAGAACAGAGUAGAGGUGGAUCUCUUUCCAUCAGCCUGCAGAAAGACUGUUUAAAUGAAGACAAAAAAAUACCUGUUAGAAUGCUUUUUUUACAAUCCCAGGAAAAGAAAAUACCAUGUUUCUUAAGGCAAAUAAGAAAUGCAUUCAAAGUCAUAUAACUGCAUAGCCAACCCUCUAUUCUGACCCCCAAGCACACACCACAUCCCUUGAAAUACUAUGUUUUUCUGUUCAGCAGUGGCCUGUACUAACACAAAUUUCUGGUUAAACCCAUUGCCACAUGCAGCACAUGCCAAACACAGGUGUGUGUGUGUGUGUGUGAUCUGUGAGGCUUCUCUCCCAUUUACAAGCUGAAAUCACAUGUAUGCAUAGUCACAGACACUCUUCCAACUUCUUGCUGUUUCAGAGUAAAAGCUUUCUUAGAAUUUUAUUUUAGGUUUUUGUAAAAUUUACUUUUUUUAAAUAAGGUAUUCUUUAAAUUGUAAUUUUUAAAAUAUUCAAGUCAUUUUUGUAAGAGCAUCCAAACACAUAUCUUUCUUUUUAGUGAAGCAAAUGAUACUCAGCAUGCUACUGACCUGUGACGACUGUACUAAGGUCACAGUUACUUCGCACUCAUCCCAUCCCUGCUGUCAGCACUAAUGUUAAAAGUUAAAUUGUUUCAAAUUAAAAUUAAACUUUGCCCCACUUUAAUCUAGUUUUUAGUUGGGUCAGUGCCCUGAUCUUGCUUGCUGUGUGACCACAUGAACAUUAAGGCUGCAGCAUGCUGAACAAGCAGCUGGAACCGCCUCUUUCAAAGUAACUCCAAUUUUUUCCAGGUUGAAGAGACCACAAAAUCAGAACCUCAUGAAAAAGGGAGUGCAUUUCAGGCGUUAGUUCAGUGUGAUGAAGAUGUUAAAAGAGAUUUUUCAAAGCUUCAAAACAGACUAUUUUAUUAGUGGUCUAGCAACAGUUUAUAUCUUCGUUUUACUUACUUGCAAUGGACUGUUUGGGAAAACAUGGGAACUCCCUACUCUACAUUAAGUUCAAACAAAACUAAGAUUUGUAAAACACCCCCUGAGAAAACUUUCAAUCCUACAAAUCUUUCAGCCAUUUGAAAGGGGGGACGAAGGCAUCAAGCACUCAAAUUUACACAUAAUCUGUCAUUCCCAAAAAUAAUAUCCAGUAUAAUCACAUCCAAGAAUUCCAGUAAGGUGAAUUAAACAUAUAGUUACCUUCCUUUUUCUUCCUCUUCUAGCAACUUUAGCAAUAGAAGCAUCAUUUCUUUUCACCACAUCCUGUGAAGAUUAAAAAUGGUGCUAAGACUCUUAACAAAACAGAGAUACAUUUUAAAUUAUUCUAAGUUUUUUCCACAACUGAAGCCACGAAGACACCUCCUGCUUUUAAAUUAUUAAAAUCCUGGUUAUCUGGUAAUCAGGAUUUUUCUUUCUGAAAGAUAAGAAAUAAAACAAGUAGUAAAUAAUAAUCUGUUUUAAAUAAAGGUAUGUACUCAUGUUUUAGUCUGUCUGAACUCUUUAUCUAGUCCUUCAAGAAAGUACAUUUGCAAUACAGAGUGAUAAAAAACACACUGUUCCACCUGUUUUAAUUGAACUUAAUAGAUAAACCAGACUAAAAGUUUCCUCUCUGAUGAAAGCUUCAAAUGAGAGGUAUAAACAUGAGUGAACACAUAGGGAGUUUUAUAUAAUUAAACAGUUCCUGAGACUGUCACAGCAGUAAUAACUGUAGCUUCUUAGUACUCAGAUUUAUGUCAGUCAACAUAAUAUUAAGAUGUUCUUUGGUACAUAGAAAAAGCUUU